ACUGCGAUAGCUCGGCUGGUAGAGCGCUUGCCCGGUAUGCGGGGGGUCGCCGGUUCAAUUCUGGUUCGCGGUG
rnacentral:tRNA from 1 species